rnacentral:pre_miRNA from 1 species
GGGGGGAGUGUGGAUCCUGGGCUGUGUCCCCCGGUGCCCUGGGCUCCGGGGCCUGCGCUGCUGCAAUCGCUCCUGGGCCGCCCAUCCCCUC